GAUGAACGCUGGCGGCGUGCCUAAUACAUGCAAGUCGAGCGAACGGACGAGAAGCUUGCUUCUCUGAUGUUAGCGGCGGACGGGUGAGUAACACGUGGAUAACCUACCUAUAAGACUGGGAUAACUUCGGGAAACCGGAGCUAAUACCGGAUAAUAUUUUGAACCGCAUGGUUCAAAAGUGAAAGACGGUCUUGCUGUCACUUAUAGAUGGAUCCGCGCUGCAUUAGCUAGUUGGUAAGGUAACGGCUUACCAAGGCCACGAUGCAUAGCCGACCUGAGAGGGUUAUCCGCCACACUGGAACUGAGACACGGUCCAGACUCCUACGGGUGGCAGCAGUAGGGAAUCUUCCGCAAUGGGCGAAAGCCUGACGGAGCAACGCCGCGUGAGUGAUGAAGGUCUUCGGAUCGUAAAACUCUGUUAUUAGGGAAGAACAUAUGUGUAAGUAACUAUGCACAUCUUGCCGGUACCUAAUCAGAAAGCCACGGCUAACUACGUG
rnacentral:rRNA from 1 species